rnacentral:lncRNA from 1 species
GAAGAACUUUAAAGAUUUUUCAAUUUAUUUCUUUACUUCAAAUCGAAUUCUUUGAACUUUUCAAGAUUUUAGAUUUGUAUCUCACACAUAUACCCAUAGUCACCAAUAUGAAUAAUGAAGUAAAGAGAAUCAACUCUAACUAGCUCAUCAAAUGUGUUGUAUACAUUAGUAUGUAUCAGGGCAAGGUCCUCCCCCCAUGUCC